CCUGAUUAGAAAUCUAUAAAUAUGUGCAAAGGGUAUUUUCCUAGAGGACUCAAUGUAUUCUCUCCAAUACACUCCUAUGAAUGCAAAUUCCUUUUUUUCUUGCUAUUUCAGCUGAUUACCUCAUUCAAAUUAUCAAUUAAGCUGAUUAAAAUUGACCACGGCAUUUUUGAACAUCAUAGCUUGGCGCUAGAAAAAGUACCCUAGUGAGUACAGCUCACAUCUCUCAAAAUUUCUUAAAAAUCAGAAUUAUACUUUUAAAUCUGGCGCAUUUUCUUGAUUCGUUUUCUUCUACCUGGGCUGCCGUGCUCUCAAAGAACAUCGAUUCAUCUACAUCGACAUGCAAAAUUAAUUAUGGGUUCACAUACUACAACUUGGAUGUAAUAUUUUAUUUUAAUGCAUCAAAUUCGCAGAAUCAAAUGCUUUUCUAGGAAUUUCUACACUUCUAUGCUUCAUCUUGGUGAAAAGAAGCCGUUGGCGCGCGAUAAGAGUAUCAACUCUCAUUCUCCUUUGGAGCCUAUGACCAUAAUGCAACUUCGCUGUGCCACCAUUGUGGCGAUCGUUGUUCUAUGCUUCUCCACCACUGCCAACGCCAACAAUAUCAUCAAAAUCCUAGCUAAAGCCCCCUGAGUUCUCAACCUUCAACCACGACUUAACGGAGACCCACUUGGCAGAGGAUAUAAACAACCGGGAAAUAUAUCUAUGAAGUCAUAAAGUCGUGAAUGAAGGAUUUUUCCUCUAAAAGAGAUCGGUAGGAUUGAUCAGUGCUUCCAUCCGUUCUCCGACCAUCCCUAGUUCAGCAUUCAAAUAUGAUAAGGAGAUUUCCAAUAUAGAAGUUUUCUCAAGAAACUGCUCCAAUAUUUCCAGUUUCUUCAAGAAAUUUACUUUCUCAUUUUGUUUUCUAGAGCAAGUUUCCUUCAGAUUUAAAUUCUCAUCCUUCAAUACCAUAACUGAUGAUCCCAAUGACAUUGGGGUAAUGCCUAAUGCAUUUACCUACUCCAAAACUAAAAUAUACUUUUGUUCAAGUCAUCAUUUCUUCUUUCGGACAGUAUAUUUCUUGCUAGAGAGCACUUCUUUCAUCAAGUCAAAGCUCAACCUCCUCUUAAAAGUUUCAUGGUCCUUCCUUUCAAGGCAGUGAUCUCAUUUUCCAUAUCCAUUAUUGACAAUAAAGAUAUGGCCAGCCAGACACUGCCACCACACCUUGAUACCAACCUGGAAUGGAUCGUGGAGCCUGAAAAGGUCUAGGGAAUCCGAGAAUCACUCGUAGGAUGCCCUCCAGGAUAAGAGGUUCUGCUCCAGAGGAAGAGACUCCCUGAAUCAGAAGCAUCUUGAGAAUCUGUGGCCUCACCUCAAUCAUCCAGCAAUUUCCUAAUUUCCACCUUGGGAAUAAGGUGUCUUUGAACCGGGGGUAAAAUAUACUUAUUCCCCUAUUGCGUCUUCUCUUUCUACUAAUGCGAUGCAUAUGAAAGUAUCUUAUUUAACCUCAAGUAACAUGAAAUUGUGUAAUAAAAAAGCAAGAAUCUACUAGUACACGAAAAAUAGGAUGCUAAAUAUAAUAUAUUCCAAGUAUUAGUCAAAAACUCAAGAUCCAACUACGGAACAUGCCUUACCCCCAACUAAAUACAAAUACAAUUACAUUGCCAAUCUGGCACAGGUGGGAUGGUUCUUUGCUAUCAAUCGUCUUCAUCACUUCCAUAUUGUUGGCAUAAUGAUUGUAAUCCGCUGCCUGCAAUGGAUCCUGCCUCCUAAUUCUUUGACUCUUCCUUUCCUGCUUUGUUACUAUUGGAAUCAGGAAGUGGUUUCUUAAGAAUAGAAAUUGUGACGGAUGAAGACUCUAGAGUGAAUGGUAUAUUUCUUCUUUUGAAGCUGUCAAGAAACCUGCCUUUCCUUGAAGAAUCCGUUGGGUUAGGAAGCUCAGUAGAUAGCUUUCUUCUCUUCUCAGGACGGUGACGGUGUCCUCUGGGUGAUUGCCGGGUUCCCAAGGCCUUCUCAGGCUCCACAAUCCAUUCCAGGUUGGUGUCAAGGUGUGGUGGAAGUGUCUGGCUGGCAAUAUUAGAUCCAAGUGCUUUUCUUAAUUGAGAAAACAAAAAUUAUAGGAUUGGCACCAUCUAGCUAAGAGUUCAUACAUAAGAUGCCAAUUUUGAAAAGGAGGAUGCUAUUUAUUUUCUUCUCGUGAUGAUAAAGAACGUCUAGUUCAGGCGCAACACUUGACUGUGUUUUGUAGGUUUCUUUAGAGAUUAGAGGCAUCACUUGUAAAAAAUCAGCAGUUCAUUGAUUUUUCUCUUUUAUUUCCUUUGUCUUUCCUUGGUAUAAUGGUUCUACAAUAUAUAUCCAUUGUCUUCAAUGGCAUGCUCUGCCAUUUGAUGUUUUACA